rnacentral:tRNA from 1 species
CUAAGGUAGCAUAACACAAUAAUUGCAAAAGACUUAAGCCCUUUACAUUAGAGGUUAAAAUCCUCUCCAUAGU